GAUGACGGGGGGGGGGAGACCCCCGGAGGGCCCCUCCUUAACCCUGAGCCUGCCAGGCCCCGGUCGGAGGGGAGAAGGCAGCCAGAUGUGACACCUCCUGGGCGCCCCCAUUCUGGCACGGUGCCAAGUGAGGGUGGCCGGCCAGGCCCUGAUGUCAUCCGGUGCUGGGUGGGUGGUGAGUCAGUCCCCGGGUGGGGGCUGGGCCAGGCCUGGGGGCUAUUCCUGUCUGACUCACCCCUCCAGUGCCCCUGAGCAACGCCCAGACCCUGCCCUAGGGAUUUCGGGUGCCAGGCUGGGGGGUCCCCGCAGGUCCCCGGAGCCUCUGCUUGUCCGGAACCUAGAUACCCCAGCAGGUCCCUGCUCCCUGCCUCGGGACCUUUGCACUGGCUGUUCCCUCUACCUGGACUUUUCCUCCAGAAGUCUGCAUGCCUUCUCCUUCACUUCCUACAAGUCUUUGUUCAAAUGUCACCUCCUUGUCAUGUAGCCUUUCCUGACCUGGCCCCCACCCGCUCCAUCCUCAUCUCCUUUGCCCCCUUCUGUUCUCCGUUAGCACCUAUCACCCAACAACACAGUCUAUGUUUAUACUUAC